GCUCCGGGGAGGCGAGCCGGGAGCAGCGCUGCCUCAUUCCCUUUUCCCAGUUUUUUCCUGGCUCAGACAUUCCCUCAUCCCCUUUUCCCAGUUUUUUCUGGGAGUGGACACUCCCUCAUUCCCUUUUCCCAGUUUUUCUGGGAGUGGACAUUCUCUCAUCCCCUUUUCCCAGUUUUUCCCAGCUCAGACACUCCCUAAUCCCCUUUUCCCAGGUUUUUCUGGGAGUGGACAAUCUCUCACCCCCUUUUCCCAGUUUUUUUUCCCAGCUCAGACACGCCCUCACCCCCUUUUCCCAGUUUUUCCCAUCUCAGACACUCCCUCAUCCCCUUUUCCCAGCUUUUCUGGGAGCAGCACUCCUUCAUCCCCUUUUCCCAGGUUUUUCUGGGAGUGGACACUCCCUCAUCCCCUUUUCCCAGGUUUUUCUGGGAGUGGACAUUCCCUCAUCUCCAUUUCCCAGUUUUUCCUAUCUCAGACAUUCCCUCAUCCCCAUUUCCCAGUUUUUUCCCAGCUCAGGCACUCCUUCAUCCCCUUUUCCCAGUUUUUCUGGGAGUGGACAUUCUCUCACCCCCUUUUCCCAGUUUUUCCCAUCUCAGACACUCCCUCACCCCCUUUUCCCAGUUUUUCCCAGCUCAGACCCUCCUUCAUCCCCUUUUCCCAGUUUUUCUGGGAGUGGACAUUCUCUCAUCCCCUUUUCCCAGCUUUUCCAGAAGCAGGCACUCCCUUAUCCUCUUUUCCCAGCUCAGACACUCCCUCACCCCUUUUUCCCAGUUUUUCCCAGCUCAGACACUCCCUCAUCCCCUUUUCCCAGUUUUUUUCCCAACUCAGGCACUCCUUCAUCCCCUUUUCCCAGUUUUUCCCAGCUCAGACACUCCCUCACCCCCUUUUCCCAGUUUUUCCCAGCUCAGACACUCCCUCAUCCUCUUUUCCCAGUUUUUCCCAGCUCAGACACUCCCUCAUCCCCUUUUCCCAGUUUUUCUGGGAGUGGACAUUCCCUCACCCCCUCUUCCCAGUUUUUCCAGAAGCAGGCCCUCCCUUAUCCUCUUUUCCCAGCUCAGACAUCCCCUCAUCCCCUUUUCCCAGUUUUUCCCAGCUCAGACACUCCCUCAUCCCCUUUUCCCAGGUUUUUUUGGGAGUGGACAUUCCCUCAUCCCCAUUUCCCGGUUUUUCCCAUCUCAGACAUUCCCACAUCCCCUUUUCCCAGCUUUUCCAGGAAGUCGCUGCUUAUCCCACAAUUCCAGAGGGACUGGGGGAAAGGAGCUCCAAUCCCACUCAGUUCCACCUCUCGCCACCCCAGGGAUGGGGAUUCCAGGUUUUUCUGGGAAUUUUGGUGCUGCUGGGGCGGUUUAGGAGAGCCUGGGUUAACGUUCUUUCCCAAAACGCUCCCGGAAGGAUUCCUGGCACUGCCUGGAGCCUCUGGACAGGGGAGCAGGGAACCUUGGGAGGGCGUUAAUUAAUGAACCUGGGCCGCGGUGAUUAAUUAACCCAGGGCUGAGUUAAUUAACGAACCUCCCCAGGCUGCCUC
rnacentral:lncRNA from 1 species